CGGGGUGAGUAACACGUAGGUAAUUUUCCUUUCCAGCGGGGGACGAACGUUCCGAAAGGACGCUAAUACCGCGUACGUUUCUCGGGACUCCGGUCCUGAGAAGGAAAGCUAGGUAGCAAUAUCCGGCACUGGAUGAGAAGCCUGCGUCGCAUCAGCUAGUUGGUGGGGUAACGGCCUACCAAGGCGAAGAUCGGUAGCCGGCCUGAGAGGGCGCACGGCCACACUGGAACUGAAACACGGUCCAG
rnacentral:rRNA from 1 species